rnacentral:rRNA from 1 species
UACGAAGGGUGCAAGCGUUACUCGGAAUUACUGGGCGUAAAGCGUGCGUAGGCGGUUUGUUAAGUCCGUUGUGAAAGCCCUGGGCUCAACCUGGGAAUUGCAGUGGAUACUGGCGAGCUAGAGUGCGGUAGAGGAUGGUGGAAUUCCCGGUGUAGCGGUGAAAUGCGUAGAGAUGCGGAGGAACACCGAUGGCGAAGGCAGCCCCCUGGGCUAACACUGACGCUCAGGCACGAAAGCGUGGGGAGCAAACAGG